rnacentral:rRNA from 1 species
CAGGCCUAACACAUGCAAGUCGAGCGGUAACAGAGAGUAGCUUGCUACUUUGCUGACGAGCGGCGGACGGGUGAGUAAUGCUUGGGAAUAUGCCUUAUGGUGGGGGACAACAGUUGGAAACGACUGCUAAUACCGCAUGAUGUCUACGGACCAAAGUGGGGGACCUUCGGGCCUCACGCCAUAAGAUUAGCCCAAGUGGGAUUAGCUAGUUGGUGAGGUAAUGGCUCACCAAGGCGACGAUCCCUAGCUGGUUUGAGAGGAUGAUCAGCCACACUGGGACUGAGACACGGCCCAGACUCCUACGGGAGGCAGCAGUGGGGAAUAUUGCACAAUGGGCGCAAGCCUGAUGCAGCCAUGCCGCGUGUGUGAAGAAGGCCUUCGGGUUGUAAAGCACUUUCAGUAAGGAGGAAAGGUUAAGUGUUAAUAGCGCUUAGCUGUGACGUUACUUACAGAAGAAGCACCGGCUAACUCCGUGCCAGCAGCCGCGGUAAUACGGAGGGUGCGAGCGUUAAUCGGAAUUACUGGGCGUAAAGCGUACGCAGGCGGUUUGUUAAGCGAGAUGUGAAAGCCCCGGGCUCAACCUGGGAACUGCAUUUCGGACUGGCAAACUAGAGUGUGAUAGAGGGUGGUAGAAUUUCAGGUGUAGCGG